rnacentral:rRNA from 1 species
AACCUACGGGGCGCAGCAGUGGGGAAUAUUGCACAAUGGGGGAAACCCUGAUGCAGCAACGCCGCGUGAGUGAAGAAGUAUUUCGGUAUGUAAAGCUCUAUCAGCAGGGAAGAGAAUGACGGUACCUGACUAAGAAGCCCCGGCUAACUACGUGCCAGCAGCCGAGGUAAUACGUAGGGGGCAAGCGUUAUCCGGAUUUACUGGGUGUAAAGGGAGCGUAGGAGGCAGGCCAAGUCUGAAGUGAAAGCACGGGGCUUAACCCCGGAACGGCUUUGGAAACUGGCCGGCUGGAGUGCUGGAGAGGG